AAAAGAGACAACAAGAAGCUAAUUGCUGGGAGAAGAGGAGAGACUCAGGUGGGCCAGAGGGAAAGAACAUAGCCAGGACUGAAUUCAGCCAGCCUUUGGAAUGGGAAGAUUGGGCAAAGUACGGAGCUCCAGGUGAGAGGCUAUUACCAGCGGAGCCAAGACAGUGAUCUCUGCAGACUGUCAGAUGUCUCUAAAGAAAGCUGCCCAGGAAGUUCAUGCUGAGAUAUGACAAUGCCCACAGCCUGAAGACAACAGCAGACAUGUGAGCCACUGGUGACCUUCGCUCCUGACUCCUUCCACAUGUUAUAUGUUAUGCAAAUAUCAUUGUAACCUAGAGAUUCAGUUUCAGUUUCUUGUGUACAUAUAAAAAUGCUGAACCCUGGAAGUAAACUACGAAGCCUUGAUUGUG